rnacentral:tRNA from 1 species
GUAGUGGUGGUUCAGCAGUAGAAUUACUGCCUUCUAUGCAGGAGACACGAGUUCGAUUCUCCGCUAAA